rnacentral:rRNA from 1 species
UUAGCCACCUACGGAAGGGAUAACCGCUGAAAGCAUCUAAGCGGGAAGCCCGUUCGAAGAUAAGUGUUCCCAUGCGGUUAGCGCAGUAAGGCCCGUGGCGAGACCACCACGUUGAUAGGCCGGAAGUGUAAGCGCAGCAAUGCGUUCAGCUGACCGGUACUAAUCGGCCGAGGGCUUGGUUAG